GGGCGGUGAUGAGGAAGAAGUCAUGCACCACUCGCUCUGAUCGAAUCUAUGCUGAUUAUAAAUUCUCAUUUAACCAUUCGUAUCUGAGCCC